rnacentral:rRNA from 1 species
UGAGGAAUAUUGGACAAUGGGCGCAAGCCUGAUCCAGCCAUGCCGCGUGCAGGAUGACGGUCCUAUGGAUUGUAAACUGCUUUUGUACGGGAAGAAACACUCCUACGUGUAGGAGCUUGACGGUACCGUAAGAAUAAGGAUCGGCUAACUCCGUGC